AGCUCGGUGGUGGAUGGUCCACAUCUGCAUUGAAUUCUCGUGAAAACCAGAAAAUUCGAGCAGAAGCAGCCCGUUCGAUUCGGGCCCGAGCCA